AUGGCGGCGCAGGCGGCGAGCUCGGCGUCGGAGGGCGGCUCCCCGGCCGCGGCGGCCGCUGCGGCUGCGGCGGCGGCAUCGUCGUUCCCGGCGACAUCGCUUUACGUGGGCGACCUCGACGUGAGCGUGCAGGACGCGCAGCUCUUCGACGUCUUCGCCCAGAUCGGCGGCGUCGUCUCCGUGCGCGUCUGCAGGGACGUCACCUCGCGGAAGUCGCUCGGAUACGCCUACGUCAACUACAACACCCCGGCUGACGCUGCACGGGCUCUUGAAAUGCUCAACUUCACUCCUAUCAAUGGACGGCCUAUCAGGAUAAUGUAUUCUAACCGUGACCCCAGCUUGCGCAAGAGUGGCACAGCAAAUAUAUUUAUUAAGAAUCUUGACAAGUCAAUUGACAACAAAGCUUUGUAUGACACAUUUUGUGUGUUUGGAAACAUUCUUUCAUGUAAAGUUGCAACAGAUCCUGCUGGGGAAUCAAAGGGCUAUGGCUUCGUUCAGUACGAGCGGGAUGAGGCUGCUCAUGCUGCUAUCGAGAAACUGAAUGGGAUGCUUAUGAAUGACAAGAAGGUGUAUGUUGGGCCUUUCGUUCGUAAGCAGGAGAGAGAUAACUCUCCCGGCAAUGUCAAGUUCAAUAAUGUCUAUGUUAAGAACCUAGCUGAGACUACCACUGAAGAUGACUUGAAGGAAAUCUUUGGGAAGUUUGGAGCAAUAACAAGUGUUGUUGUAAUGCGGGAUGGGGAUGGAAGAUCCAAGUGUUUUGGAUUUGUGAAUUUUGAAAGUCCAGAUGAAGCUGCUCUGGCUGUUCAAGAUUUGAAUGGCAAGAAAUUUAGUGACAAGGAAUGGUAUGUUGGAAGAGCGCAGAAAAAGUCAGAAAGGGAGAUUGAAUUGAAAGAGAAGUUUGAAAAGAACCUUCAAGAGGCAGCGGAUAAGUAUCAGAACACCAACUUGUAUCUGAAGAACUUGGAUGAUACUGUUGACGAUGAAAAGUUGCGUGAACUUUUUGCUGAGUUCGGAACUAUUACUUCCUGCAAGGUUAUGCGUGAUUCAAACGGUGCUAGCAGAGGUUCUGGAUUUGUCGCUUUUAAAUCUGCUGAUGAUGCUUCCCGAGCUCUUGCUGAAAUGAACAACAAGAUGGUUGGCAAUAAACCACUUUAUGUUGCACUCGCACAGCGCAAGGAAGACAGGAAAGCUAGGCUGCAGGCACAGUUUUCACAAAUGCGUCCUGUUCCAAUGGCUCAAACUGUUGGUCCUCGUAUGCAAAUGUUACCUCCUGGUGUUCCAGUUGGUCAGCAAAUGUUCUAUGGCCAGCCACCAGCGUUUAUUAACCCACAGCCUGGAUUUGGCUUCCAGCAACCUUUCAUGCCGGGAAUGAGGCCAGGUGGUGCUCCGAUGCCAAACUUUAUGAUGCCUAUGGUUCAGCAAGGACAACAACCACAACGCCCAGCUGGUAGGCGAGCUGGUGCUGGUGGAAUGCAGCAAUCCAUGCAGAUGGGUCAGCAGCAGAUGCUGGGUAGGGGUGGUGGUCGUGGUUACCGCUAUCAGACCGGGCGUGGCAUGCCUGAUCCUGCGAUGCAUGGUGUUGGGGGUGUGAUGACAUCCCCAUAUGAGAUGGGAGGGAUGCCUAUGAGAGAUGCCGGUGCGUCACAGCCGGUUCCAAUUGGGGCAUUGGCUUCUGCACUUGCCAAUUCACCCCCAGAGACGCAAAGAAUGAUGCUUGGCGAGAACUUGUACCCUCUUGUUGAUCAGCUGGAGCACGACCAGGCUGCCAAGGUGACCGGCAUGCUUCUGGAGAUGGACCAGACUGAGGUGCUUCACCUGCUUGAGUCGCCAGACGCUCUCAAGGCCAAGGUUGCUGAAGCCAUGGAGGUUCUCCGCAGCGCUCAGCAGCACACCAACCAGUCCCCUGAGCAGCAGCUGGCUUCGCUCUCGCUGAAUGACGGCCUCAUCUCUUCCUAA
rnacentral:rRNA from 1 species